rnacentral:rRNA from 1 species
GGAUGACCUCGGAUCAGGUAGGGAUACCCGCUGAACUUAAGCAUAUCAAUAAGCGGAGAAAAGAACAACGGCGAGUGAAGCGGCAA